rnacentral:lncRNA from 1 species
AGUCUUCAAGUAAAGGCCAGAUGACUACUUACAGACUAUGAUGUAAACAUAUUUUUUAUUAUUCUUAUCAGAUAUAGAUUGGACUGGAUGGCAUCAAAGAUAUCUUCCAACUCUGAAGUCUUAUGAUUCUGAUUCUAAACAGCUGGAGCAAAGUUGAAGAGGCAGGAUUAGAGAGAAAAAUGCCAAAACGUCUCUUCAAGAUAUUUUUGCUGUCACCUAUUACAAAUAUCCAUUGUCACUGGUUUAUCACUAUCAUAUUAAGGGGCUACAAUCAACUUUACUUGUUCUCAGAUCCAGAUGGCUGCCAGGAGAGUUUCAAGCAAAUGAACUAUGCAUCAGAUUCUCAUUGGUGAGCAUUUUAUAGGUUUUGCAUGGGGUGGAGUGGCCUGUCCCCAGUCUCCAAAGUGUUUUCAUCUCCUGCUGAUAAACAUUGUUUUCCCCUCUCCUUCACCUUGGCUGCCAUCAACUGAAUCUUCAUCAGCAAUUUGUUGAUCAUUUUUUUCAGAACUUAAUGAGCAUGGUCCAUGACCUAUCCUUCAUCAGCAAGUUCAUUUAGAAUGGGGAAUUCACUAAUCCAUUCAAUUAGCUGCCUGUAAAAGGGGA